AUUGAACGCUGGCGGCAUGCCUUACACAUGCAAGUCGAACGGCAGCACGGGGGCAACCCUGGUGGCGAGUGGCGAACGGGUGAGUAAUGCAUCGGAACGUGCCCAGUAGUGGGGGAUAACCAGUCGAAAGACUGGCUAAUACCGCAUACGACCUACGGGUGAAAGCGGGGGACCGUAAGGCCUCGCGCUAUUGGAGCGGCGGGUGUCUGGUUAGCUAGUUGGCGGGGGAAGAGCCCACCAAGGCGACGAUCAGUAGCUGGUCUGAGAGGACGACCAGCCACACUGGGACUGAGACACGGCCCAGACUCCUACGGGAGGCAGCAGUGGGGAAUUUUGGACAAUGGGCGCAAGCCUGAUCCAGCCAUGCCGCGUGCGGGAAGAAGGCCUUCGGGUUGUAAACCGCUUUUGGCAGGAACGAAACGGCGCAAGCCAAUACCUUGCGCUAAUGACGGUACCUGCAGAAUAAGCACCGGCUAACUACGUGCCAGCAGCCGCAGUAAAAC
rnacentral:rRNA from 1 species